CACGUAGGGGGCAAGCGUUGUCCGGAUUUAUUGGGCGUAAAGAGCUCGUAGGUGGUUCGGUAAGUCGGGUGUGAAACCUCCAGGCUCAACCUGGAGACGCCACCUGAUACUGCUGUGACUGGAGUCCGGUAGGGGAGCGUGGAAUUCCUGGUGUAGCGGUGAAAUGCGCAGAUAUUGGGAGGAACACCAGCGGCGAAGGCGGCACUCUGGGCUGGUACCGACGCUGAGGAGCGAAAGCGUGGGUAGCGAACAGG
rnacentral:rRNA from 1 species